rnacentral:rRNA from 1 species
UCGAGAAUUUUUCACAAUGGGCGCAAGCCUGAUGGAGCGACGCCGCGUGGGGGAUGAAUGGCUUCGGCCCGUAAACCCCUGUCAUUUGCGAUCAACCGUUAUUAUUUAAAAGAUGAUGACCUGAUAGUAGCGAAAGAGGAAGGGACGGCUAACUCUGUGCCAGCAGCCGCGGUAAUACAGAGGUCCCAAGCGUUGUUCGGAUUCACUGGGCGUAAAGGGUGCGUAGGUGGCGAGGUAAGUCGGAUGUGAAAUCUCCAAGCUCAACUUGGGAAAUGCAUUGGAAACUACAAUGCUAGAGGAUUGGAGGGGGGACUGGAAUACUUGGUGUAGCAGUGAAAUGCGUAGAGAUCAAGUGGAACACCAGUGGCGAAAGCGAGUCCCUGGACAACUCCUGACACUGAUGCACGAAAGCUAGGGGAGCAAACA